rnacentral:rRNA from 1 species
UACGGGGGGAGCAAGCGUUGUUCGGAUUUACUGGGCGUAAAGGGCGCGUAGGCGGCCUCUGCAAGUCGACUGUGAAAUCUCCGGGCUUAACCCGGAAAGGUCAGCCGAUACUGCAGGGCUAGAGUGCAGAAGGGGCAACUGGAAUUCUCGGUGUAGCGGUGAGAUGCGUAGAUAUCGAGAGGAACACCUGCGGCGAAGGCGGGUUGCUGGGCUGACACUGACGCUGAGGCGCGAAAGCUAGGGGAGCGAACGGG